AUAAUAUUCUGUUAAUAAAACUCAGAGUAGUAACAGAAUUCUCUAAACUCAAAAAAUUUGGCGGCAUUUUAUCCUAUUAGAGGAACCUGUCUCGUAAAUGAUGACCCACGUUUUGUUUUACCAUUUUUAAAAGUUUGUAUACCGCCGUUUUGAGGAUAUUAUAAAGUAUCUUCUUAAUUAUUUUAAUCAAAACCUCAGGUCAAGGUGCAGCUAAUGUAAUGGAGUAAGAUGGGUUACAUUAAUUAAAAUUAUACGAAAAAUUUAUUUAAAAUUUAUUAAAAGGUGGAUUUAAUUGUAAAUUUUGUAUUAACUAAAUUGACUAGGUUA
rnacentral:rRNA from 1 species